AUUGAACGCUGGCGACAGGCUUAGCACAUGCAAGUCGAGCGGGGGAAGGUAGCUUGCUACUGGACCUAGCGGCGGACGGGUGAGUAAUGCUUAGGAAUCUGCCUAUUAGUGGGGGACAACAUCUCGAAAGGGAUGCUAAUACCGCAUACGUCCUACGGGAGAAAGCAGGGGAUCUUCGGACCUUGCGCUAAUAGACGAGCCUAAGUCGGAUUAGCUAGUUGGUGGGGUAAAGGCCUACCAAGGCGACGAUCUGUAGCGGGUCUGAGAGGAUGAUCCGCCACACUGGGACUGAGAAACGGCCCAGACUCCUACGGGAGGCAGCAGUGGGGAAUAUUGGACAAUGGGGGGAACCCUGAUCCAGCCAUGCCGCGUGUGUGAAGAAGGCCUUAUGGUUGUAAAGCACUUUAAGCGAGGGGGAGGCUACUUUAGUUAAUACCUAGAGAUAGUGGACGUUACUCGCAGAAUAAGCACCGGCUAACUCUGUGCCAGCCGCCGCCGUAA
rnacentral:rRNA from 1 species